rnacentral:rRNA from 1 species
UACAGAGGUCUCAAGCGUUGUUCGGAUUCAUUGGGCGUAAAGGGUGCGUAGGCGGCGCGGUAAGUCGGGGGUGAAAUCUCGGAGCUUAACUCCGAAACUGCAUUCGAUACUGCCGUGCUUGAGGACUGGAGAGGAGACUGGAAUUUACGGUGUAGCGGUGAAAUGCGUAGAUAUCGGAAGGAACAUCAGUGGCGAAAGCGACUUCCUGGACCAAUACUGACGCUCAUGUGCGAAAGCGUGGGGAGCAAACAGG